rnacentral:rRNA from 1 species
GUGGGGAAUCUUGCGCAAUGGACGAAAGCCUGACGCAGCCAUGCCGCGUGAAUGAUGAAGGUCUUAGGAUUGUAAAAUUCUUUCACCGGGGACGAUAAUGACGGUACCCGGAGAAGAAGCUCCGGCUAACUUCGUGCCAGCAGCCGCGGUAAUACGAAGGGGGCUAGCGUUGCUCGGAAUUACUGGGCGUAAAGGGCGCGUAGGCGGACAGCUUAGUCAGAGGUGAAAGCCCAGGGCUCAACCUUGGAAUUGCCUUUGAUACUGGCUGUCUUGAGUUUGGGAGAGGUGAGUGGAACUCCGAGUGUAGAGGUGAAAUUCGUAGAUAUUCGGAAGAACACCAGUGGCGAAGGCGACUCACUGGCCCAAUACUGACGCUGAGGCGCGAAAGCGUGGGGAGCAAACAGGAUUAGAUACCCCUGUAGUCC